UACGUAGGGUGCGAGCGUUAAUCGGAAUUACUGGGCGUAAAGCGUGCGCAGGCGGUUUUGUAAGCCAGAUGUGAAAUCCCCGGGCUUAACCUGGGAAUGGCAUUUGGGACUGCAAGGCUUGAGUGCGGCAGAGGGGGGUGGAAGUUCCGCGUGUAGCAGUGAAAUGCGUAGAGAUGCGGAGGAACACCGAUGGCGAAGGCAGCCCCCUGGGCUAACACUGACGCUCAGGCACGAAAGCGUGGGGAGCAAACAGG
rnacentral:rRNA from 1 species